rnacentral:rRNA from 1 species
CCUACGGGGGACAGCAGUGAGGAAUAUUGGUCAAUGGGCGCGAGCCUGAACCAGCCAAGCCGCGUGAAGGAAGAAUGCCCUACGGAUUGUAAACCUCUUUUGUCAGGGAACAAAGUGAGGCACUAGUGCCUUUUUGCAUGUACUUUAUGAAUAAGCAUCGGCUAACUCCGUGCCAGCAGCCGCGGUAAUACGGAGGAUCCGAGCGUUAUCCGGAUUUAUUGGGUUUAAAGGGAGCGUAGGUGGGUUGUUAAGUCAGUUGUGAAAGUUCGGGGCUCAACCGUAAAAUUGCAAUUGAUACUGGCAGGCUUGAGUACAGGAGAGGUAGGCGGAAUGCGUGGUGUAGCGGUGAAAUGCUUAGAUAUCGCGAAGAACACCGAUUGCGAAGGCAGCUUACUGGACUGACACUGACGUUGAGGCGCGAAAGUGUGGGUAUCAAACAGGAUUAGAUACCCUAGUAGUC